rnacentral:rRNA from 1 species
UGCAAGUCGAGCGGAGUGAUGGUGCUUGCACUAUCACUUAGCGGCGGACGGGUGAGUAAUGCUUAGGAAUCUGCCUAUUAGUGGGGGACAACAUUUCGAAAGGAAUGCUAAUACCGCAUACGUCCUACGGGAGAAAGCAGGGGAUCUUCGGACCUUGCGCUAAUAGAUGAGCCUAAGUCGGAUUAGCUAGUUGGUGGGGUAAAGGCCUACCAAGGCGACGAUCUGUAGCGGGUCUGAGAGGAUGAUCCGCCACACUGGGACUGAGACACGGCCCAGACUCCUACGGGAGGCAGCAGUGGGGAAUAUUGGACAAUGGGCGCAAGCCUGAUCCAGCCAUGCCGCGUGUGUGAAGAAGGCCUUAUGGUUGUAAAGCACUUUAAGCGAGGAGGAGGCUACUGAAGUUAAUACCUUUAGAUAGUGGACGUUACUCGCAGAAUAAGCACCGGCUAACUCUGUGCCAGCAGCCGCGGUAAUACAGAGGGUGCAAGCGUUAAUCGGAUUUACUGGGCGUAAAGCGCGCGUAGGCGGCUAAUUAAGUCAAAUGUGAAAUCCCCGAGCUUAACUUGGGAAUUGCAUUCGAUACUGGUUAGCUAGAGUGUGGGAGAGGAUGGUAGAAUUCCAGGUGUAGCGGUGAAAUGCGUAGAGAUCUGGAGGAAUACCGAUGGCGAAGGCAGCCAUCUGGCCUAACACUGACGCUGAGGUGCGAAAGCAUGGGGAGCAAACAGGAUUAGAUACCCUGGUAGUCCAUGCCGUAAACGAUGUCUACUAGCCGUUGGGGCCUUUGAGGCUUUAGUGGCGCAGCUAACGCGAUAAGUAGACCGCCUGGGGAGUACGGUCGCAAGACUAAAACUCAAAUGAAUUGACGGGGGCCCGCACAAGCGGUGGAGCAUGUGGUUUAAUUCGAUGCAACGCGAAGAACCUUACCUGGCCUUGACAUAGUAAGAACUUUCCAGAGAUGGAUUGGUGCCUUCGGGAACUUACAUACAGGUGCUGCAUGGCUGUCGUCAGCUCGUGUCGUGAGAUGUUGGGUUAAGUCCCGCAACGAGCGCAACCCUUUUCCUUAUUUGCCAGCGAGUAAUGUCGGGAACUUUAAGGAUACUGCCAGUGACAAACUGGAAGAAGGCGGGGACGACGUCAAGUCAUCAUGGCCCUUACGGCCAGGGCUACACACGUGCUACAAUGGUCGGUACAAAGGGUUGCUACCUAGCGAUAGGAUGCUAAUCUCAAAAAGCCGAUCGUAGUCCGGAUUGGAGCUCGCAUCCCACCCCAUUAAUG